UUAACAGCAGUGGAAACUCAAGUCUUCUCUUUGUCUACACAAGCACAGCAGAUGCCCUACAAAUUUCUCACGCUGCCCUACCAAUGUGUCUCCAUCAUGACUUGGAAGGACCUCUCUAGAAGUGAGAGGGUAAUUCAGUCACCAGGAUUCAUUCAGGAUUUGUCCUCU
rnacentral:sRNA from 1 species